rnacentral:rRNA from 1 species
GACGAACGCUGGCGGCGUGCUUAACACAUGCCAGUCGAACGGUGAAGGGACCGGUUUUUGCUGGUUCUGGAUGAGUGGCGAACGGGUGAGUAACACGUGAGUAGCCUGCCCCCUUCUUCUGGAUAACCGCAUGAAAGUGUGGCUAAUACGGGAUAUUCUGCGCCUGCUGCAUGGUGGGUGUGGGAAAGAUAUUGUUUCGGUGGGGGAUGGGCUCGCGGCCUAUCAGCUUGUUGGUGGGGUGAUGGCCUACCAAGGCGGUGACGGGUAGCCGGCCUGAGAGGGUGGACGGUCACACUGGGACUGAGACACGGCCCAGACUCCUACGGGAGGCAGCAGUGGGGAAUAUUGCACAAUGGGCGCAAGCCUGAUGCAGCGACGCCGCGUGAGGGAUGGAGGCCUUCGGGUUGUAAACCUCUUUCGCCAGUGAAGCAGGCCUGUCCCUUUUGUGGGUGGGUUGACGGUAGCUGGAUAAGAAGCGCCGGCUAACUACGUG